GUAGCGGGGAGUCCAAACAACGUCGGCACUAGUGAAUGGAGUUCUCGGAGUUUCUCGUUCUCGUGAGUCAAGUUUGACGAAGGUUUCCGGAGAACCUGUUGGAAUGCUGUGACAUCUCCACAUCAGCUCUUCCAGGAUGUCAUCAGCUGCCACGGCGAGGCCAAUCAGUCGCGUUUCCCUGAGACGAUCGUCGCUCCGGUAUGACUUACGACGGCGCGUUCUUGUGUCGAACCUGAGUCGAGCUGUCAGCCCUCUGACGGAAAUCAAAUCUGUUCUGCCCUCGAAGUCAUCUGUCACUGCCCCUUUAGAUCUCCUCAAAGAUAUUCCAACGGUCGGUAGACCCAAACAGCAAUGUAUACCGUCUCAGAGCACGUCAUCAACACCGCAGCAAACCCCAGAGAAGAAGAUUUUCCGCGUAGAUCCAGCAAUACUGUCGCGGAAUCCAAUCGUUCACACACCUCAGAAAGCUCCCGCGAAACGGAGGCUCAGCGAGCCGAACAGGCCAACGAUGUCUCUCCAUCUCCUGCGGGAAGAUUAUAGACCGCCGACGAAGAAGGACUGUCCCAGGGAUUCGGUGAUUUUCAACCCGAGUGCAGUAACGGAGGUCCGACCUGGAACAUCUGGUGAAGAAUUCCAAUACGAUAGCCCACCGGCGAGGCCAGUGCCAUUGCCACGAAAAUCUAAGAUGGCGAUUUUACCCAAUUCACGCCCUUCGACGCGACCUCAGUCUUCGACUAGCGCCAACUCGGAUGAAUCAGAAGAUCCGAUAUACGCAAAAAUUGAAAAUUGUCGAACGGGUAGCAGAGAGGAUUUGCCAAAGCUCGGCUAUACUGGCAAUAUGACACUGCGAUCCAAACCGCUGAACGAUUCUCUCCAUGUUCGUUUUUUGGAUGAAUGCGCUGAUCGCAGGAGACGAAACAGCCUGCCGACGAAUUCUGGAAUCCUUCGUUUGAGACCGCGUUUCUCCUCGACCUCUGGAGAGUGCAGAGCGAAGAAAAGCCUCUUGUUCUCAGACAGCGUAGAUAAUACUAAGACGCCGGCGGGACUCACUGUGAAGAACAUACACGCGGAGAAAGAAGUGACCUCCCUGGCCGAUAUGAUAAGCGGAGCCGUAACUCCCCCCGCGAGGCGGCUUCUCCGUCGUCCCUCCCUCGCAUCCUCAAUCAGGGCGGGAAUUGUCCGAAAAACUGGCUCGUCGUCGAGAGUAAGAAACUGAAGAAGGACGAGGUCGAUAAAUCCUACGGAUUCGCGUGUAGAAUGCGUCCGACGCUCAGAGUUCUCAACAACGGGACGCCCCCGCAGCUGUUGCCAAACAAGGAAUCCCGGAGAGAUCCCGCCUCCGGUGAAACUCCGCAGAAAGUCACAACGAGUGAAGCAGUCGCGGCGCCGCCUCGGCCACCUCCAAGGAUCAGUCCACUGAGGAGUCCGAACCCGACCACUCAACAGAAGACAACCCCAUGUAAAGAAAUCGCGGUCCAAACUUCGUUCGUCGUCCACGGAGCUGUUGAUUGUCCCCAAUCGAAAGGUUCGGCGAAGAAGCGACGAAGAUCCAUGGAGAUCAUUGCUGAAGUCGGUGCCAAGGUCAGACGCCGGAGCAGCAUCCUGAAAGACAAGCUGUACCGUUCCCUCGAUAUCACGCCGAGCAAAUGA